GUUUAGUUGAUGAUAUUCCUGUGUUGGGAGGAGAAGUUGUCAUAAAAGAGGGAUAUGACUUUCAAAUAGAUGGCACACCAAAUAGGAUUCAUGUAAAGAAAGUAAUUAGAAUUAUAUUAUGUCUUAUUUACUUGCAUACUUUUUACAACACUUCUAAGGAAUCACCAAAGAGUUAUUCAGCUUUCUCGUCUCCUUUUUCGGCUACAAAUACUACUUCAACCGUUGAAGACAAACUCUAUAAAAUUGAAAGGAAGGUGGAUAUAAUUUUGAAGUACAUUAAACAAACA
rnacentral:lncRNA from 1 species